UACGUAGGGGGCUAGCGUUGUCCGGAUUUAUUGGGCGUAAAGAGCGUGUAGGCGGCCAGGUAGGUCCGGUGUGAAAACUCGAGGCUUAACCUCGAGAUGUCAUCGGAAACCAUCUGGCUAGAGUCCGGAAGAGGAAAGUGGAAUUCCUGGUGUAGCGGUGAAAUGCGCAGAUAUCAGGAAGAACACCGGUGGCGAAGGCGCUCUGCUAGGCCGCAACUGACACUGAGGGACGAAAGCUAGGGGAGCGAAUGGG
rnacentral:rRNA from 1 species